GUCCACCUGUGUGUGUGCAGCUAUAAAUCCCUGUGUCCUAUUGUGGUAUGUAUCAUUCAAAUUCUAGUACCUUGACCAAUGAACUUUUUUUCCAGGCAAGCGGAAAACUAUAGCGGAUACUCUGGUUCGUGUAGACAGAUGCAAGAAAUGAAGGUUGCCUAGAACUAACAAAUGUACUUGCUCUAGUGAUUUCUGAAGCUGAUGGCAGUAGUUUGCUCAACUCUCGUUUUGUGGAAAAUCUGGAGGUCUCUGGGUGUUUGUAGAGUUGGUCACGUUUUGGGGAUAAACUUGAGAAGUUUGGCCUUGUUGUAGUUUGCUGAUGAACCAUCUCCUGGAAAAUACGGGAAUUGUUCUGCGCUUCCAGUUAAGCUGGAACAUUUCAGUAGAUUUAUUACUCUAUUAGAUCAGCAUGUAGUAUGACCAUUGCAGAAUGUUAUGUUCAUUUGCAAAGACAGUGCUCUAACCUUUUCAUCA